UGGGGGAUAUUGCACAAUGGGCGGAAGCCUGAUGCAGCAACGCCGCGUGAGGGAAGACGGUUUUCGGAUUGUAAACCUCUGUCCCCGGUGAAGAAGCAAGUGACGGUAACCGGGGUAGGAAGCCACGGCUAACUACGUGCCAGCAGCCGCGGUAAUACGUAGGUGGCGAGCGUUGUCCGGAUUUACUGGGUGUAAAGGGAGCGCAGGCGGGACAGCAAGUUGGAUGUGAAAUACCGAGGCUUAACCUCGGAGCUGCAUCCAAAACUGCCGUUCUUGAGUGAAGUAGAGGUAGGCGGAAUUCCGAGUGUAGCGGUGAAAUGCGUAGAUAUUCGGAGGAACACCGGUGGCGAAGGCGGCCUACUGGGCUUUAACUGACGCUGAGGCUCGAAAGUGUGGGGAGCAAACAGG
rnacentral:rRNA from 1 species